GCCCUCGCGGCGCUAUUGGCCUGGCGCCAAGCCAGAAACACUUGUUGCUACGGAAGAAAUGAGAAUAGAGCGAGCCACCUCCCAAUACUAGUCGUCUUUCGUCAAAGUAUUAACAGAGAACGGAACGCAUCAGCGGAAAACCCAGAUACGAUCUUCUGCAAGUUCUUUAUUUUUCUCGGCUUUCCAACUUCGUGGAAAUUCUACAAAGUAGAAUCGGGACAAUUUACGAGCUAGAGCUCUCGUUUGAACGGCACUCGAUCGUUCGAUUACGUGUCGAAGAGUCGCAUCUCGUUCGGCGAAUUGCGUAACGUCGAACAACUACACGCCCGUAUCGAGAAAGCGUCACGGUGCGACUGGCCUCUUCCUGGGUCAGCCGAUCCGCAAAGAGAGAAAGAGAGAAAGAGAGAGAAGAUACGCGUCCGGGGUGUCUGUGUGAGGACGUAGCGAGGGAGGAGGAGAAGGAGGAGGAGGCGGUCACCUCCGAGUUAUUCUAAGUGAAAGAGCGAGCGAGUGAGCAAGCAAACGAACGAACGAACGAACGAGCAAACGUGGAGGCAAGGAAGAAGAGGAUGAAAACGUGCGACCAGCCGAAUCUCUGGCUAUUCGCCAACUUCUCUUCGGGGAUUCGUGAGAAAAGAAUCUGAACGUCGAUCGUUCGAACUGACCCACGUUCAACGUUAAGUCUUAAAAAAAUAUUCAGAUAACAUGGCAAAUAAGUGGGCAUUAUCAAUUGAUUCGCAGUUGAUUAACAUACUUCCAAGAUAUAUUAAGAAUUUAUUAUCGACAGUAUAUCAUUUAUAAAAGUUCUCUAUGAUUCUAUUUAAAUUCAUGGGUGCCCAUAGUUGGUCUGAUUUAUUGAAUAAAAACAUUAACUGUGA